rnacentral:pre_miRNA from 10 species
GGUCUAGUGGAAACAUUUCUGCACAACCAGAAUACUCAAACUAGCAUGAGGAAAGGCUUCUGUAACAGU